rnacentral:rRNA from 1 species
UACGUAGGGGGCAAGCGUUAUCCGGAAUUACUGGGUGUAAAGGGUGAGUAGGCGGCAUGGUAAGCCAGAUGUGAAAGCCUUGGGCUUAACCCGAGGAUUGCAUUUGGAACUAUCAAGCUAGAGUACAGGAGAGGAAAGCGGAAUUCCUAGUGUAGCGGUGAAAUGCGUAGAUAUUAGGAAGAACACCAGUGGCGAAGGCGGCUCUCUGGACUGAAACUGACGCUGAGGCACGAAAGCGUGGGGAGCGAACAGG